rnacentral:rRNA from 1 species
GACGAACGCUGGCGGCGUGCUUAACACAUGCAAGUCGAACGUGAUUUUUGUGGAAAUUCUUUCGGGAAUGGAAAUGAAAUGAAAGUGGCGAACGGGUGAGUAACACGUGAGCAACCUACCUUACACAGGGGGAUAGCCGUUGGAAACGACGAUUAAUACCGCAUGAGACCACAGAAUCGCAUGAUAUAGGGGUCAAAGAUUUAUCGGUGUAAGAAGGGCUCGCGUCUGAUUAGCUAGUUGGAAGGGUAAAGGCCUACCAAGGCGACGAUCAGUAGCCGGUCUGAGAGGAUGAACGGCCACAUUGGAACUGAGACACGGUCCAAACUCCUACGGGAGGCAGCAGUGGGGAAUAUUGCACAAUGGGGGGAACCCUGAUGCAGCGACGCCUCGUGAGCGAAGAAGGUUUUCGAAUCGUAAAGCUCUGUCCUAUGAGAAGAUAAUGACGGUAUCAUAGGAGGAAGCCCCGGCUAAAUACGUGCCAGCAGCCGCGGUAAUACGUAUUGGGCGAGCGUUGUCCGGAAUUAUUGGGCGUAAAGGGUACGUAGGCGGUUUUUUAAGUCAGGUGUGAAAGCGUGAGGCUUAACCUCAUUAAGCACUUGAAACUGGAAGACUUGAGUGAAGGAGAGGAAAGUGGAAUUCCUAGUGUAGCGGUGAAAUGCGUAGAUAUUAGGAGGAAUACCGGUGGCGAAGGCGACUUUCUGGACUUUUACUGACGCUCAGGUACGAAGCGUGGGGAGCAAACAGGAUUAUAUACCCUGGUAGUCCAAGGGCGAAUUCCACAGUGGAUAUCAAGCUUAUCUAUACCGUCGACCUCGAGGGGGGGGCCCGGUACCCAGCUUUUGUUCCCUUUGUGAGGGGUUAAUUAGCUUGGGGUUGAUUGCUGUGGUGUGUGUGAUUUGGUUUCUGUGUGUGUUUGUGUGUUGUGACUAUUUGUUGUGUUGUUGUGUGUGUGGUUGUGUUGUUUUGUGUUGUUUGUGUUUGUUGUGGAUUUGUAUGUGUGUUGUGUGUUGUGCUGUGUGUGAUUACUGAUGUGUUGUUGAUCAUGUGAUGUACUGUGUGUGUGUGAGUGUGUGUGUUGUUGGUAGUGUAGUAUGAUUAGUUAGUGAUUGUAAUGUGUGUGUCUGUGUGUGUGUGUUGAGGUGC